GACCUGGUGGUGUAAUGGUUAGCAUACCGGCAUGUUGUCUGUUGAUAGUCCAUACCUAUGCAGGAGAUCCCUGUUCGACUCGGGGUUGGGUCA